rnacentral:lncRNA from 1 species
CUGAUUCAUGCUGAAGAAGCAACAAUGGAAGAUACAGAUAACAUAGUAGCAGAAGUUGAAGCUAUAAUGCAAGGAACAAAUCAUUACAGUCAAUUAGGACAAGACAAGAUCAUUAUUCAAACAGAUUCACUAGCAAUGCAGAAAUUAUUAAAUUAGGAAUGGAAAAUACCAUAGAGAAAUGCAGAUACAGUAAACAGGAUUAAGGAGUUGUUUCAACACAAGCAAGUACAGAUAGUUCACAUAUUUAGAGAAGGCAAAAAACUUAUGGACUACUUAGCUAACUUAGCAUUUCAACAAGAGCAGUUCAUAUUUACAGUAUUCAACCAGCUACUAAGUGAAGAUAAAAGGAUAAUAAAUAGUGACAAGCAGCAAUGUCCCUAUUUGAGACUAAGCUUCACAAAAUUCUAAGAGAAAUGGAAAGGCUACAACAUUUUCUUUCACCAUAUUUACAAGCAGAGAAGAUAAUUAAAAAAUUUAAAAUAUCUUUGAGCCUAUUUACACCAGCUAACAAAAAGGGAUUUUCAGUAGGUUGGGGUCACUAAGUUAGAUUAGAUUCAACCGACUGAGCUCCUUGGUCUUCUUCAAUUAUCAAUAGGUCCAAGAAUCUCAUUAUCUCCAUCCCAACUAUAACUGUAUAUGGAGAAGAAGAAGAGGACCAACAAUAAUAUACAGGGUAAAAUACAAGCUUAUAAGGGUAGAAUACUUACAAGAAGAAUGAAUUAAGGGUCAGAAGACGAAACCCAGGGUGUUAGCACCAAAAACCCAUGCGAAUUUACUGAAGAUUACACCCGGAAUAGAAGAAAAAAAAAGAAUUAAGUUUGGAGCUUAGUCAUCUGGUGAACAUCAUACUAAAUGUAAAAGAAAAGAUCUUACUCAUGCAAGCUUGAAUAGUCAACUUCAAGCAACAGGGGUUUGGUAUUUAUCACCCACAGAUGUAGAAGCACGAAUUGAAGAUUGGUGAACAGGAACAUGGUGAAGGAGACGUAGGGAAGCUCAGCUCAGCUCAACUGAUGGAUUUGGAAACCCUACUCCCUUUUAAGUAUGUAGGACCGGAUUUGUG